CCGACCUUAGCUCAGUUGGUAGAGCGGAGGACUGUAGUCGUACAAAGCUGUCAUCCUUAGGUCGCUGGUUCGAAUAGGCAGGUCGGA
rnacentral:tRNA from 1 species